rnacentral:misc_RNA from 1 species
UCCGGUUUGUCACCGGCAGUCUCGCAUGAGUCCCCAACUAAAUGCUGGCAACAUGCGACAAGGGUUGCGCUCGUUGCGGGACCUAACCCAACAUCUCACGACACGAGCUGACGACAGUCAUGCACCACCUGUACACCGACCACAAGGGGGGCACCAUCUCUGGCGCUUUCCGGCGUAUGUCAAACCCAGGUAAGGUUCUUCGCGUUGCAUCGAAUUAAUCCGCAUGCUCCGCCGCUUGUGCGGGCCCCCGUCAAUUCCUUUGAGUUUUAGCCUUGCGGCCGUACUCCCCAGGCGGGGCACUUAAUGCGUUAGCUACGGCACGGAAACCGUCGAUAGGUCCCCACACCUAGUGCCCAACGUUUACGGCGUGGACUAC